rnacentral:lncRNA from 1 species
GAGUAAAAGCUAUAUAAAAAUGGAAUAAAUAACUCACGAAAAAGAUAUGUAAAAGGAACAAAUUACUGCCAACUUUCUUUUCCUGCCUUAGCUUAUGUACCAAAAAAACAAAUUCCUGUCAAUAUGUUUGAAUGAAGGUUCAGAUCCAGAGCCCCAUCAAAAUUAAUCAUCCAUGAAAAAUCUAGCUCCUAUUUUUUUUUUUGACAUAACUCCUAUUCGUUUAUUUGUACAAGAAAAUGACCAUCCUUGCAGAAUUUUAUUGGCCAACUUUUUUUGGAUGUAUGCAAAAUGAACCUAAAUAUAAAUAGUGGCAUACAAUUUAAAAGAAAAAGAGGGUUGGAGAAUAGCAGAAAUAAGAAUAAUAUACAGAAGGUGUAAGUCAUUUUUCUUCCAAGCGCCGCAGCACCGACUCGGCAAAGUUCUGUUGCCUACAAAUGAGUUAUAGCCAAUAUAUUCAACAACAU